CACGUAGGGGGCAAGCGUUGUCCGGAUUUAUUGGGCGUAAAGAGCUCGUAGGCGGUUCGGUAAGUCGGGUGUGAAACCUCCAGGCUCAACCUGGAGACGCCACCCGAUACUGCUGUGACUAGAGUCCGGUAGGGGAGCGUGGAAUUCCUGGUGUAGCGGUGAAAUGCGCAGAUAUCAGGAGGAACACCGGUGGCGAAGGCGCCGCUCUGGGCCGAAACUGACGCUGAGGAGCGAAAGCGUGGGUAGCAAACAGG
rnacentral:rRNA from 1 species